AGCAGCCGCGGUAAUUCCAGCUCCAAUAGCGUAUACUAAAGUUGUUGCAGUUAAAAAGCUCGUAGUUGAAUUUCGGGAUCAACACGUUGGUCGUGCCUCAGGUAUGCACUGGCGUUGUUGGUUUCUCCCUCCUGACGAGUUUUAAUGCCAUUAAUUUGGUGUUAGGAGGAGUCAGGACUGUUACUUUGAAAAAAUUAGAGUGUUUAAAGCAGGCAAUCGCUUGAAUACAUUAGCAUGGAAUAAUGAAAUAGGACGUUCGAUCCUAUUUCGUUGGUUUCUAGGAUCAACGUAAUGAUUAAUAGGGAUAGUUGGGGGCAUUAGUAUUCAAUUGUCAGAGGUGAAAUUCUUGGAUUUAUUGAAGACUAACUACUGCGAAAGCAUUUGCCAAGGAUGUUUUCAUUAAUCAAGAACGAAAGUUAGGGGAUCGAAGACGAUCAGAUACCGUCGUAGUCUUAACCAUAAACUAUGCCGACUAGGGAUCGGAUGAUGUUAAUUUUUUAAUGACUCAUUCGGCGCCUUACG
rnacentral:rRNA from 1 species